rnacentral:rRNA from 1 species
UCAGGCCUAACACAUGCAAGUCGAGGGGUAACAGGCCUUUUAAUAUCGCUGACGACCGGCGCACGGGUGAGUAUCGCGUAUGCAACCUUCCUUUAACUGGGGAAUAGCCCGGAGAAAUUCGGAUUAAUACCCCAUAAUAUUCCGGUAACGCAUGUUACUGGAAUUAAAGCUCCGGCGGUUAAAGAUGGGCAUGCGUACCAUUAGCUUGUUGGUAAGGUAACGGCUUACCAAGGCUACGAUGGUUAGGGGGUCUGAGAGGAUGAUCCCCCACACUGGUACUGAGACACGGACCAGACUCCUACGGGAGGCAGCAGUGAGGAAUAUUGGGCAAUGGGCGCAAGCCUGACCCAGCCAUGCCGCGUGAAGGAUGAAUGCCCUACGGGUUGUAAACUUCUUUUGUACGGGACGAAACUUCUGAUCGUGAUCGGAACUGACUGUACCGUUCGAAUAAGCAUCGGCUAACUCCGUGCCAGCAGCCGCGGUAAUACGGAGGAUGCAAGCGUUAUCCGGAUUCAUUGGGUUUAAAGGGUGCGUAGGCGGAAUAGUAAGUCAGUGGUGAAAGCCUGCGGCUCAACCGUAGAAUUGCCAUUGAUACUGUUAUUCUUGAGUAUAGUUGAGGUGGGCGGAAUGUGUAAUGUAGCGGUGAAAUGCUUAGAUAUUACACAGAACACCAAUUGCGAAGGCAGCUCACUAAACUGUCACUGACGCUGAGGCACGAAAGCGUGGGGAGCAAACAGGAUUAGAUACCCUGGUAGUCCACGCUGUAAACGAUGAUCACUCGUUGUUGGCGAUACACAGUCAGCGACUGAGCGAAAGCAUUAAGUGAUCCACCUGGGGAGUACGGCGGCAACGCUGAAACUCAAAGGAAUUGACGGGGGCCCGCACAAGCGGAGGAACAUGUGGUUUAAUUCGAUGAUACGCGAGGAACCUUACCUGGGCUUGAAAGGGGAUCGACCUCCCGGGAAACCGGGAUUCU